AUGGCGAAAGAUCACGACAAUCUCAUCGGCAAGCUCCCAGACGAGUUGCUUGGCACUAUCGUGUCCCUCCUGCCAACCAAGGACGCCUGCCGCACGCAGGCACUCUCCCGCGGGUGGCGCCACAUCUGGCGCUCCGCACUGCUCAUUCUCGACGCCGGCUUGUCCAAAAAGAUUGUCUCCCGCAUUCAUUCUGCUCACCCAGGCCCCAUCCGCCGCAUCGCGAUCAGCAUGGACCCCCUCCCCUAUCGCUACCACCGCUGCACGGGUAGCCAGAUGGUUGAUGACGCCGGCGAUGCCAGGCUCGACGGCUGCCUCCGCUCCCGUGAUGACCUCGCCAGCAUCCAGGACCUCAUAGUCGUCCACGGUCACGGCAGCUACUGCACCGACGUGUUUCCGUCAUCUGUGUUCCAGAACGCGCUCGAGCUCCGCAUAGCCAGGUUCGGCGCUGCCGUCUGCCGUCCAACCUAG
rnacentral:rRNA from 1 species